GUAGCGGCGGUACAACAAAAGCAGGUGGAUCUUCAAAAUGGAUAACAUUAGUAGUUCGGAAAUUAAUGGCUUUCUUCCCUAAAGGUGUGUUGUAGCUGAAUCACCUGGGGGUCUUCAAAUAGGAGUUGUGAGUGUUUUAGUGGGAGGGUGUUGAGGAUGUGAAUGAGUACCUGAGAGUAUGUUUCCACUUGUAAUGGUAUGUUAGUUGGAGCCCAUGGUAUAGGGCAAGUAGUUCAGCUUGAAG
rnacentral:lncRNA from 1 species